UUUUUCCUCCACUGGAACACAGAUGAGUAUUUCAACAAUUAGACCAAACUGGGAGGAACUGCCCAAGGAAACAGCAAAGCAGGCUUAAGAAAUCAGAUACCCUACAUCUCCAACCUAUCCACUGCACGGGAUCAUUAUCUAGGCGCGGGCUCAGCAGGCAGCACAAAUCAAGAUCAGAUAACAUAGAGGCUGAGCAAUAAGAGAUCCGCCCCAGGAAAUAAUAAAUGACCACAAAGCCAGGAAGCAUCCAGUAACCUAAUUGCCAAGACCUGUCUGGAUGACAGUCCCUACAGGAUUGUCAGCCCACCUAGGUCACAAAGGCAAGCAGCACAGAAUUCAUAAUCUCUGCAAACAACCAGUCCAAGAGAGAUGCCUCAGAUUCUUUGGAUUAUAUCGAGUCCUUUACUAACUUUAUAGCUGGAAUUUUAUCACCAGGGAGUUGUAAUACUCUUAGGAACCACCAGGUAUAGCUGAUGUAAGCAAAACAAGAAAGUAUGUUGGCGUUGAAGACAGAUUCUUAUUGGUAAAUAUUAGUAAACAUCGAUUUCGCUGUACAGCUACAAUUUGACAAAAAGUAUUUCCAUCAAUAAUAAUCAAAAUGUACAGACAGGCAAAGUACAGCCUCUCUCCGAGUUAUGAACGAGUUACGGACCAAACACUUGCCCGUAACUUGAUCCGUUCGUAACUCAGACCCUAUUGAGUUAUAUGUGACCGCGCUGUUCGUAAGCACGGGUCACAUUCAUAACUCGGGGACCGUCUUUACGACCGCUCCAUGGGAGCUUUGGUCGUAAGUGUGAACGGUCAUAACUCAACUGUUGUCAACUCGGGGAGCGGCUGUAUUAAAAUUGUGCUGGAGAACUUAUUACGGUUCAAUCUAAGGCUGUUUACUUCGUAUAUUUUGACAUGAGAUAUCGACAGCUUGUGCUUUGACAGUUUUAAACCUUUAAAUUUUUGAAGACCAAAGUCUAUUUCCACUAAAUAAUUAUUGUCCGAUUCCCACUGAGAAUUUACCCAACUAUGAACAUUUAAAAUCAACAAGCAUGUAAAAGUAUGUUUAAAGAACUAAACAUCAAUAGUAUCUGUCAAAAUUAUACAAAAAUAAAAAUCAGAUUCUGCCAAGCUUAAUUAUAUGGAAUCAAAACAUUGCAGGGCAUACAGACAUCUUCAAUUGUCAUUGAUUUUUUAAAAUCAUUUGGGUCUCCACUAAUCAUUAUCACAACCAUGCUUCAUGGCACUGACCUUAACCAAACACACAGUUCCUUGCUACAUCCCUGCUUUGGUGAAAUUUUAAGCUGUUUAUCUGCUUUCUCUAUCCUUCCCAUACAGUUUUGUGUCACUAAUGGACAAGAUCUCUGCUCUUUCAAUAAAUAUACAUAACUCCCCCCCAUCUGAAAACUGCACGUUUGCUUCAUAUUAAAUUACCUACCCCAUAA